UACGUAGGGGGCGAGCGUUGUCCGGAAUUAUUGGGCGUAAAGCGCGCGCAGGCGGUUUUUUAAGUUCGUGGUGAAAGACCGGGGCUCAACCCCGGAGCGUCCGCGAAGACUGGAAGACUGGAGUGUCGGAGAGGAGUGCGGAAUCCCUGGUGUAGCGGUGGAAUGCGUAGAGAUCAGGGGGAACACCGAUGGCGAAGGCAGCACUCUGGCCGAAUACUGACGCUGAGGCGCGAAAGCGUGGGGAGCGAACGGG
rnacentral:rRNA from 1 species